rnacentral:rRNA from 1 species
UCCCGACAGUCCGAGUCGCAGCCAUCAUUAUUGGGUCUAAAACAUCCGUAGCUUGUCUGUUAAGUUUCUUGUGAAAUUUCAUGUCUCAAGCAUGAAGCGUGCAGGAAAUACUGGCAGACUAGAGACCGGGAGAUGUGAAGAGUACAUCCAAGGUAGUAGUAAAAUACGUUAAUCUUGGAUGGACUAACAAUUUGGCGAAGGCACUUCACAAGCACGGAUCUGACAGUGAGGGAUGAAGGCUAAGGGCGCGAAA